CAGAGCAUCAGGUAGUAUUUCAGAGGUUCGAUUCUGGCUCCAGAUUGAACAUGGCGGGAUGUACUUUACAUGCAAGUCGAACUUGGCAACACGGACUUCGGUCUGGUGGCGAGUGGCGAACGGGUGAGUAAUGUCGGAACGCGUGCCUAGUAGCGAGGAUAACUGCGCGAAAGCGUAGCUAGCCACCGCAUACGCCCUUCGGGGAAAGCAGGAGACCUUCGGGCCUCGCACUAUUAAGAGCAGCCGAUAUCGGAUUAGCUAGUUGGUGCAGGGUAACAGCUCACCAAGGCGACGAUCCAUGUAGCUGGUUUGAGAGGACGACCAGCCACACUGGGACUGAGACACGGCCCAGACUCCUACAGGAGGCAGCAGUGGGGAAUUUUGGACAAAUGGGGAAACCUGAUCCAGCCAUCCGCGUGUGCGAUAGAGGCCUUCGAGGUUGUAAAGCACUUUUGGCAGGAAAGAAACGGCACGGGAUAAUACCGUGCAACUGACGGUACCUGCAGAAUAAGCACCGGCUAACUACGUGCCAACAGCCGCGGUAACGUAAGUGCAAGCGUUAAUCGGAAUUACUGGGCGUAAAGCGUGCGCAGGCGGUUCGGAAAGAAGAUGUGAAAUCCCAGAGCUUAACUUUGGAACUGCAUUUUUAACUACCGAGCUAGAGUGUGUCAGAGGAGGUGGAAUUCCGCGUGUAGCAGUGAAAUGCGUGAAUAUGCGGAGGAACACCGAUGGCGAAGGCAGCACUCCUGAGAUAACUAUGACACGCUCAUGCUUUUAGCGGUAGAGGGGAGCAAACGGGAUUAGAUACCCCUGAGUAGUCACCUAAACGUGUCAACAGCUGUUGUUGUUUGGGGCCUUCGGGCCUUGGUAGCGCAGCUAACGCGUGAAGUUGACCGCCUGGGAAGUACGGUCGCAAGAUUAAAACUCAAAGGGAUUAAUGAAGGGACUGCUGACGGUGAGGAUGAUGGAUUAAUUCGAUGCAACGCAAGCAACACCUGCCCUUGACUUGUCUCUGGAAUCCCGAAGAGAUUUGCCAGGAGUGCUCGCAAGAGGAACCGGAACACAGGUGCUCAUCUGGCUGUCGUCAGCUCGUGUCGUGAGAUGUUGGGUUAAGUCCCGCAACAAGCGCGCAACCUUGAUAGAACAGUUGCUACGAAAAGGCACUCUAACAAUGAGACUGCCGGUGACAAACCGGAGGAAGGUGGGGUGACGUCGGUCCUCAUUGUGGCCCUUAUGGGUAGGGCGUCAUACAAUGGUGAGACUGGAAGGUCGCCAACCCGCGAGGGGGGACAAUCCCAGAAACCCGAUCGUAGUCCGGAUCAUGAUCUGCAACUCGACUGCGUGAAGUCGGAGAUCGCUAGUAAUCUUGGAUCAACAAUGCGCGGUGAAUGCGUUCCGGGUCUUGUACACACCGCCCGUCACACCAUGGGAGUGGGUUUUACCAGAAGUAGUUAGCCUAACCGUAAGGGAGAGGCGAUUACCACAGUAGGAUUCAUGACUGGGGUGAAGUCGUAACAGGUAG
rnacentral:rRNA from 1 species